UACAGAGGUCCCAAGCGUUGUUCGGAUUCACUGGGCGUAAAGGGUGCGUAGGUGGCAGGGUAAGUUUGAUGUGAAAUCUCCGGGCUUAACCCGGAAACUGCAUUGAAUACUAUCCGGCUCGAGGAAUGGAGGGGAGACUGGAAUACUUGGUGUAGCAGUGAAAUGCGUAGAUAUCAAGUGGAACACCAGUGGCGAAGGCGGCAUCCUGGACUGGUCCUGACACUCAGGAGCGAAAGCGUGGGGAGCGAUCCGG
rnacentral:rRNA from 1 species